AGUGAACUUCGUUUGCAAUGGAAAUCCUUUACUGCGGCGCGAUAGCAGAGCAGGAAAGAUUGAAAUGAAAAGCGGGAAACAGC
rnacentral:sRNA from 1 species